GGAUAGAGAGAGGAGUGGAGUAGAUCUAGCGGCGGGGCUCCGGCCCGCCAGGGCCAGGGCCAGGGCCAGGGCCGGAGGCUAGAUCUCGGCCUCGGCCGGCCGACCACCGGCGGUCUGCUCGUCGGUACGUACGUGCCGAGGCCUGAAGAGGCGCGCGCAGGGCGAGGCGCCGGAUCUUGCACGGCAAGGAUCUCAACGACGGACGGGAGGUCCUCUGUUGGAUCAAAUAUUGCCACUGUUUUUCUCUCUAGGCAAGGAUAUAUUAGAUCAAGCAUCAUAUCAUGUACGCCGUAAGCUUUUGCAACGCCCUCACCGUUAGUGUCUACUGGUUGGAUCAUGCUUCUGUUUAUGAGCUCAUUUAAGUAACCCUCUCCUAGCUUAAGUGGUCCAAUUUUUUGAUUUUAUGAUACACAAAACCUUCAGCUAUCCAUUUCCAUAUCGGCUGGUCUCUCUUAAUUUUGUAAUCCUCUGGAAAUAUGCUUAGAUAUAAUAAAUGAUGCGAAGGUAGAUCAUAGAACAACAACAGCACCAUCUUUAGCCUCAAUAAAGUUGGGUUAGGCUAGAGAUACAACACAACAGGAGCCACACACUCACAAUAUGAUAAACGCUAUAUUAUAUCUAGUAAAGGAGGUUAUUGGCUUGUGGGUUAUGUCUGAGUGGUGAUCUAGAAGUCAAUCCUCUUUUACUAGUAGUUUUGAUUCACCUUUUCAUCUCUAGGGUUAGUUAUUAUGCCUAAGUAUGUUUUGAGAAGAUUAUAAGAUUAGGCAAGGUCAUUUGAUCCGGAAAUGGAUAGCUGAAUGUUUUGUUUAUCAUUAAAAACAAGAUAUUAGACUAUUUGUGCUAGGAGAAGGUUACUCAAUGAGCUCCUAAUCAGAAGUAUGAUUCAACCAAUAGACAUUAAUGUUGAUGAUGAAGGCAUGGAAAAAUCUUACCGUGUACGUGAUAUGGUGAUUGAUCCAACACGUUUUUUUGCCAAGUGAAGAAAAUGUGGCGAAAUUGCAUGGCAAUGAGCAAAGAGUUUGUCUAAUCUGAAACCAAGAUUCGAAGGUUAUCCAUUCAAAAGAGCAUGGUAGAGAUAUGACUAAACAGCAGCAGCUAGCAUAUCAUAUGUGGGAUGUCUAUCCAGUUCUGGUUAUGUGGAACCUGGGAGUGCUACCUGUGCUGGAAUUUGCAUAUUGUGCUGCAUUGCUUCCAUGUUGAGUUUCUGACCAAUCAAGAUGGUGAUGACUAAAGUACACCACAUUUGCCUUGUGAUUUCAUUCGUCUUCCAUCUGCAAUGAUGUGAAGCUCUCGCUGUGACCCAGUUAUCUUCUGCAUUCUGCCCAAGCUGAAUUAUCCUUUUUAAGUUAUUUGUGUUGUACAGAAUAGUGUUAAUCAUGUUGUACUCCUGGCUGGUUUGCUGGCUUUGGUUAUUCAUUGUCUAACAGCUUUCAGAGUCUGUAUACCAGAGCCGUGUAAUGAAAGUAUUGACCUCCAUUCUAGUAUCUUCUGAAGUAACGGCAUUUUCUUUUGUA